rnacentral:lncRNA from 1 species
UGGCCUCAAAUUUCCAAAGCCCUCUCUCCUUCCCUUUUUGCCCUAGUUUCUUGAAACUAACACUCGCCUCUCUCUUUCCCUUCAUGCACAAAGAUGGAACUUGACGACUAAGAACCUGCGAUAAAGAACAAACGAUGCUGAAGCUAGGAACACUAGGGUUCUGGUGUCGCUGCAGUUGCAUUUAACCCUACUUAUUGAAGAAUUGUGCACAAUGCUAUCAAGUUUUGGUGGGAGGCUGGUGGCUAUACACAGAGUGUUGUUUCACUAAAACAAUGUGAUCGCGGUUCCAGAUGCUAAUUUUCAUUCUCUCCCUUCCACUCGGCACAAACAACACUAUAUCCUUAGAUUAGAUAACAUGACUACUAGAAGGUACAAAUGUCAGGAGGCGAAAGCAUAUGUAAGAUUAUCACGUGAUAUGUUGGGAAAAGGAAUAAGUCAACCCCGGUAAAUAUUGGACAUAUUACACGUCGGACACUAAAUAGGGUGAUAUAGGCAAAAUCCUAGUUUGUUGAAAACUAAAAUCUAAGUUGGAGAUGAAGUUUUCCACAAAAGCAUUCUAAACUCUACCGAGACUAUAGCAAGAGGAAGGGUCUAGAGCUUGGACCCAAAUGAUCUAGUUGGUGGUACAAAGAUUGAACCAGAAUGGUGUGAGGUAAACGCUCAAGUACCAAUAAAAAAUAUUAAAACUUGGUAAAACCAUAUGGUUUAUUUUCUACAAUUCAAGAUUGUAUUAGUGCAUCAUCCAUCGCAUGGCCCUAUCCAUUCAUCUCGGUAGUUCAUGAGGAUUGAGGACGCAUGAUGACUCAAGAUUUUAUGCUUCUUUUUUCUUUAAUUGCUUUAAUUUCUUUGUUAAAUGUUAAGAUUUUAUGUCAGAUAAUGUUAUAACUUAUUUAUGGUUAGUGUUUUUGUUAUGAACAUGCUUAUUUGAAAUAUAAUGAAGUUUUAUUUCUU